CUUCAAAGGCGUGGGCCUAGUGAUUGCCGCGACAUUGGUCGCCGAGGUCGGGAUA
rnacentral:sRNA from 1 species